rnacentral:lncRNA from 1 species
UGGUGGAUUACUAUGAAGUUCUAGGCGUGCAGAGACAUGCCUCACCCGAGGAUAUUAAAAAGGCAUAUCGGAAACUGGCACUGAAGUGGCAUCCAGAUAAAAAUCCUGAGAAUAAAGAAGAAGCAGAGAGAAAAUUCAAGCAAGUAGCGGAGGCAUAUGAAGUGCUGUCGGAUGCUAAGAAACAGGACAUCUAUGACAAAUAUGGCAAAGAAGGAUUAAAUGGUGGAGGAGGAGGUGGAAGUCAUUUUGACAGUCCAUUUGAAUUUGGCUUCACAUUCCGUAACCCAGAUGAUGUCUUCAGGGAAUUUUUUGGUGGAAGGGACCCAUUUUCAUUUGACUUCUUUGAAGACCCUUUUGAGGACUUCUUUGGGAAUCGAAGGGGUCCCCGAGGAAGCAGAAGCCGAGGGACGGGGUCGUUUUUCUCCGUGUUCAGUGGAUUUCCGUCUUUUAGAAGUGGAUUUUCUUCUUUUGAUACAGGAUUUACUUCAUUUGGGUCACUAGGUCACGGGGGCCUCACUUCAUUCUCUUCCACGUCAUUUGGUGGUAGUGGCAUGGGCAACUUCAAAUAGAUAUCAACUUCAACUAAAAUGGUUAAUGGCAGAAAAAUCACUACAAAGAGAAUUGUCGAGAACGGUCAAGAAAGAGUAGAAGUUGAAGAAGAUGGCCAGUUAAAGUCCUUAACAAUAAAUGGUAAGGAGCAGGUGCUGCGCUUGGAUAACAAGUAAUUCAACGCACGCACUUA